GUGAACGCUGGCGGUAGGCCUAACACAUGCAAGUCGAACGGCAGCACAGUAAGAGCUUGCUCUUACGGGUGGCGAGUGGCGGACGGGUGAGGAAUACAUCGGAAUCUACUUUUUCGUGGGGGAUAACGUAGGGAAACUUACGCUAAUACCGCAUACGACCUACGGGUGAAAGCAGGGGAUCUUCGGACCUUGCGCGAUUGAAUGAGCCGAUGUCGGAUUAGCUAGUUGGCGGGGUAAAGGCCCACCAAGGCGACGAUCCGUAGCUGGUCUGAGAGGAUGAUCAGCCACACUGGGACUGAUACACGGUCCAGACUCCUACGGGAGGCAGCAGUGGGGAAUAUUGGACAAUGGGCGCAGGCCUGAUCCAGCCAUACCGCGUGAGUGAAGAAGGCCUUCGGGUUGUAAAGCCCUUUUGUUGGGAAAGAAAAGCAGCAGGUUAAUACCCCGCUGUUCUGACGGUACCCAAAGAAUAAGCACCGGCUAACUUCGUG
rnacentral:rRNA from 1 species